ACAGGGCAGGAGGACAACAAGAAACUCGCAGUUAGGGUUAUUAGUUUCCUCAGGAAACUGUCACAAAUGUCCACACAUGUGGAUUAAAACAACAGAAACGUAUUCUCUACCAGUCCCGGAGGCCAGAGUCUAAAACUGAGCAGUGAUUUCCAUGAAGACACGUGACUGCGUUCAGGGCCCGCCAUGGAGAUGCAGGAGCAGCUCCCCCUCCUUGCAAGAUCCCGACUCCUCGCAUCUUUGCAGCAGAAGGUGAUUUUGAUUACAUUUGACGGAAUCUCAGAGCUGGAGAGCAACUUUUUCAAACCUGCUUACUGCCUGUCAGUGAAGUUAGAUGCAAGGUCACCAGGAGGAUGACCUUGACACUCCCUCUGCUUGUACAGUGGUUUGAAGAAUGUCCUUACUGUGGUCAGACUCCACUUUCCAUGAGGUUUCAGCCUCAGACCAUGGUGGAGAGCAAGCAAGAUACCAGUGACCCAAUUGGGUCUCAGCCAAGACAGACAAUCAAGUUUUCUGUACAUUCUGGACAUUGUACUUGUUCAUUAAAGGAAAGAGAUAAUGAGGAUUUCCUGAUCUAUAGUAUUGCCAUUAAUAACCACCAUUUCAAAGUCUUUCAUAUUUAAUCAUCACAUUUGACUUCCAUGAGAUGUUUAUUGCUUUUAAUCCCAUUCAAUUGAUUUUGAAAUCCAACAUCAGCUACGUCACAGUCAGUGAAUUAGAAGGCAACAUUUCUUUGCUGACUCCAUAUUCAGGGCUCUUGCCUAGAUGCUAUGCUUAUACUGUUUUACAUGUUCAACUUCAUCUCUGGCCUUUAGAAUUAACUCAGUAACAGGAUUAGGAAAUAUAUGACCAAAUAUCAAAGGGUUGGUUAAUUUUGUGUGUCAACAUGACUAGGUCACAGUACCUAGUUAUCUGGUCAAACAUUAUUGCAGAAGCUUCUGUGAAGGUAUCUUUUAUUUAUUUUUUAGAUGAAAGCCUCAUCAGUCAUGGGAAGUCUUUAAUAGGAAAAGACUGACCUUCCAGGAAGAAGAGAGAAUUCUACCAUCAAAUCACCUUGUGGCUCUAGCUACAACUCUUCUUUGGGCCGUCCUUCGUCUAUUCAUGUUCUAACAAAAUAUCACGGACAGGGUAAUAGAAAUCGAUUCCUCACAUUCUGGAGGCUGGGAAGUCCAGAGUCAAGGUGUGGGCAGGUUUGGUGUCUGGAGAGCCUGGUUACUGUUUCCAAGAUGGUGCUUUUUGCUGCGUCCUUACAUGGCAGAGGCAGAAAGGCAAAGGGGGCAGCACUGUGUCCUCACCGGGCAGAAGAAAUGGAAGGGCCCGAAGGACAUAUGGCGGUGCUUUCCAGUCAGGGCUUCAGGGACAGGACUGCCUCCUGGUGGCCUAGGGAGCAGAGAACAGAGCCAAAAAGAUUAUUCUCCAAAUAAAAGAUCGUUCUCUCAAAUCUACUGGAAUUAGCCUUGCUGGGUUUCAGACUUGCUUGGAAUCUGCCAACCUGUUUUCCUUUUUGAGUUGCUUCUUAAAUGGAAUUGUCUGUCUUCUCUCUGUUGUACCUUGCAUUUCGGAAGCAGGUAACUUGCUUCAUGUUUUAACAUCUGGAGAGAAGUUUUGCAUCAGGACAAAUCACAUGGAACCUUACACAUACCUGACGUAGAUGAUAUUCUGCAGCUGAUGUUUGAAUGGACUAAGACUUCAGGGCAUUUGGGGAUGGGAUGAAUGUAUUAUGUAUUAAAAAAAAAUCAUGGAUUUUGUGGGACUAGAGGUCAGAGUGCUAAAGGUUGGACUGUAUUCCCUCCAAAUUUGUGUAUUGAAUCCAAAGCCCCCAGGAUCUCAGAAUGUGACUAUUUGGACAUAAGGCCUUUAGUCAUAUGUUUGGACAUAUGUCCACUUUAGAAGUGAUUAAGGUGAAAUGAGGUCUUACGAGUGGGUCCUACUCUAAUUGGUGUCUGUAUAAGAAGAGGAGGUUAAGACACAGACACGUGGACUGUAGAGCAGCCACGUGAGGACACAGGGAGAAAGUAGCCAUCUGCCAGCCAAGGAGAGAGGCCUCAGAAGAAACCAACCCUGCCGGCACCUUGGUCUUGGCCUUCAUCCCCAGACUGAGGAAACCAAUUUUUGUUGUUUAAGCCACCUACUUUGUUGUAUUUUCUUAUGGCAGCCCUAGCAAAGCAAUAUAGCCACCAAAAUCACUUAGAUAAUUCAGCGGGGGAAGAAGUCAGCUCCACCAUUUAUUGGCAUGAGGGAGAUUAAUCUUGUUUCUUGCACUGACUUUGUUAUUUCAGAGUUGAUAUUAUAUAGACCCAACUUUAAUUAUGUUUUUCCAUCUCUGAUUUUUCAAAUGUAGCAUCAUAUUCUAUCAAGCCUUCUGCCUUAAUAGCCUAUGAAGUAUUUGCUUCUGAGAUCACAAUCAACUCUGUUUCACUUUAGUAAGAGUAUCUUUCUUUCCUUCUUAAAAAAAUUUAUACUGUGAUUUUAAGUGCAGAAACUCUUGGAAGUAAAAGUCUGCUUUGGAUUCCAACAAAGUUUCCUCAUUUCAUUUUCAUCUCUAAUGUAGCCUUCAGUCUCUCCUGCUUGAAGUCUUGCUUUUAGACACUCUCUGGAGCCAAACUAUCUAAAGCUGGCCUCCUUCCACCAGAAUGAACUGCAGAAAUGAGGAACCUCUCCCGU